CGCGAGGUAGUGUAAAGGUAACAUUUCAGUCUCAUGAUCUGACGUCGAUGGUUCAAUUCCAUCCUUCGCAU
rnacentral:tRNA from 1 species